GACGAACGCUGGCGGCGUGCUUAACACAUGCAAGUCGAACGGAAAGGCCCUGCUUGCAGGGUACUCGAGUGGCGAACGGGUGAGUAACACGUGGGUGAUCUGCCCUGCACUUCGGGAUAAGCCUGGGAAACUGGGUCUAAUACCGGAUAGGAGCCAUUUUUAGUGUGAUGGUUGGAAAGUUUUUUCGGUGUAGGAUGAGCUCGCGGCCUAUCAGCUUGUUGGUGGGGUAAUGGCCUACCAAGGCGGCGACGGGUAGCCGGCCUGAGAGGGUGGACGGCCACAUUGGGACUGAGAUACGGCCCAGACUCCGACGGGAGGCAGCAGUGGGGAAUAUUGCACAAUGGGCGCAAGCCUGAUGCAGAGACGCCGCGUGGGGGAUGACGGCCUUCGGGUUGGAAACUCCUUUCGCUAGGGACGAAGCUUUUUGUGACGGUACCUAGAGAAGAAGCACCGGCUAACUACGUG
rnacentral:rRNA from 1 species